CCUAGGUUCCGGAAAAAGCCUGGUCCCGCCAUCCCUGGGGGAAAAGGAGCAAUAUUUAUUGCAUAACAGAACCUGGCAUUGUGACAAGUGCUUACAUAGACCAUUAGGAUGGUUCCCAUUUUCCAGAUAUCUACUGAGGUGCUACUGCAUACCAGGCACUGCACUAGAUGCUGGGGAAACAGUCACGAGCAAGAAAGACAAGGUCCCUGUCCUCACAGUGGGAGAGCAAGGCGUAAAAUAUGUCCAGAUGGUAAUGAGUGCUAAACUGCAAGGAAAAAGACACACAAGGUGAGAAUAACUGAGCUAAUCUACAUGGAAGGAUGGUCAGAGAAGGGUUCCAGGAAGAGGUGACAGUUUAGCCAACACCAGAAAGAUUCAAAGGAGUCAGCCAUGGGAAGAACUGGGGGAAGGGCAUUCCAGAUAGAGACUAUAGCAACUGCAAAGGCCCCGAGGCUUGAAAGGGCACAUGGGUUAUAGGAGUGGAGAAGCUGGUGGUGGCUGAAGUGUGGUGUCUCAUAGUGGGUUUGGAGAGGGAGGAAGGGCCAUACAGGCCUUGUGGCAUGUAUUUUGUAGCCAUUGGAGGGUUAUCAGGGCCAUGAAAUAAUCAGAUGUACAUUUUAAGGCUCCUGUUGGCUUUUAAAGGGCCUCCCAACCAGACAGGACUUAGCGAGGGAAGCAAGUUGGAC
rnacentral:lncRNA from 10 species